AUUGAACGCUGGCGGCAUGCCUUACACAUGCAAGUUGAACGGCAGCACGGGUGCUUGCACCUGGUGGCGAGUGGCGAACGGGUGAGUAAUACAUCGGAACGUACCUUAUCGUGGGGGAUAACGCAGCGAAAGCUGUGCUAAUACCGCAUACGCCCUGAGGGGGAAAGCGGGGGAUCGCAAGACCUCGCGCGAUUAGAGCGGCCGAUGCCUGAUUAGCUUGUUGGUGGGGUAAAAGCCCACCAAGGCGACGAUCAGUAGCUGGUCUGAGAGGACGGUCAGCCACACUGGGACUGAGACACGGCCCAGACUCCUACGGGAGGCAGCAGUGGGGAAUUUUGGACAAUGGGGGCAACCCUGAUCCAGCAAUGCCGCGUGAGUGAAGAAGGCCUUCGGGUUGUAAAGCUCUUUUGUCAGGGAAGAAACACCGGCUCUAACACAGUCCGGGAAUGACGGUACCUGAAGAAUAAGCACCGGCUAACUACGUGCCAGCCGCCGCAGUAA
rnacentral:rRNA from 1 species